rnacentral:rRNA from 1 species
CACGUAGGGCGCAAGCGUUGUCCGGAAUUAUUGGGCGUAAAGAGCUCGUAGGCGGUCUGUUGCGUCCGCUGUGAAAACUCGGGGCUUAACCCCGAGCCUGCAGUGGAUACGGGCAGACUAGAGGUAGGUAGGGGAGAAUGGAAUUCCCGGUGUAGCGGUGAAAUGCGUAGAUAUCGAGAGGAACACCAGUGGCGAAGGCGAGUCCCUGGACAACACCUGACACUGAGGCACGAAAGCUAGGGGAGCAAACAGG